ensembl:misc_RNA Metazoa_SRP Metazoan signal recognition particle RNA
GCCGGGUGCUACUUUCAACAUUUCAACAUUUCUGAACAUCUGAAGUCCCAGCUACUUAGGAGGCUGAGAUGGGAGUAUUGCUUGAGUCCAGGAGUUUGGGGGCCAUAGUAUGCUAUGCUAAUUUGGUGUCCAAUCUAAGUUUGGCAUCAAUGUGGUGAACUCCUAGGAGUUGGGGACUACCAGAUUGCCUAAGGAGGGGUGAAUCAGCCCAGGUCGGAAAUGAAGCAGACCAAAAACUACUGUGCUGAUCAUGCCCUUGAGUAGUAGGCAACCUGGGCCACAUAGAGAGACCCUGUAUCAG